rnacentral:lncRNA from 1 species
CUGAUACUACAGUAUUUUUAACAUGACUCAUUGUGCUAUUGUAUUUUUUCAUUACCCACAAUACCACAAUAUUACUGUAUUUGUUAGCACUGCCUGCCAUUCCUUAUUAUUAUUAUUUUUGCAAUGGAGUCUCGCUCUGUCACCCAGGCAGGCUGGAGUGCAGCAGUACAAUGUCGGCUCACUGCACCUCCCGGGCUCAAGCGAUUCUUCUGCCUCAGCCUCCCAAGUAGCUGGGAUUACAGGCACGCGCCACCACGCCCGGCUAAUUCUUUUGUAUUUUUAGUAGAGACAGGGUUUCGCUAUGUAGACCAGGCUGGUCUCGCACUCCUGGCCUCCAGUGAUUCACCCACCUUGGCCUCCCAGAGUGCUGGAAUGACACGUAUGAGCCACCACACUGACCUUUUU